CGGUUAAAGGUGGCAAAGAAGCACAUGGAGGCACGGUGCCAAAGUCAGUUAGAGAGGCGUGCCAUCCCCUAGGGGAGUACAACAGCCAAGUAUUAAGACAGACUCACUCACUCUUACACAAACACAAACAGCAGAUUGUUUUUGUCCCUCCAUUAACUGCAAGCCAAUCGAGGACGGCGCGGAGGCUAACCAAUCACCUUGGGGGAAUUUGCAGGAAGAGAUAAAGGGGUGUGAUGAGGAAGUGGUUAUGAUUAAAAAAAAAAAAGAAAGAAAGAAAAUCUACAAAUCUGUUUAUCUGCAUGUUUCACGCUUGGCUCUGGUAGGUCCACGGUGGCUGCUGGAUGACAGUGGCUCCCUGACAAGCUACUCAGAAUCGGGUUCCGUGGUUAAUGGAGAGUUGAAGCCAGAGCUGAGAGGAGGGCGACAGGGUAAUGUCAUCCAGCGUCACGUACAGUCUGAAAUAUAAAACUAUCACCACGCCCACACAGAAAAGGUUGAUGGAAGCUGCUAAGAAUGUGCAACAAUGAACUUCUUGGUGCAUGAAUGAGAUCAUUAUCAUGUCUCUAAAAUAUUUUUUUUUUCUACUUCACUGAUUAUUGACUUUGCAGAUUAAGUUGGCUAAUUGAUGAUUUACAGUUUUCUUUUGUCUGCGUCUCUGACUCAGCCUCAGCUCAUAAACACCGUCUAUUCUCUGA